rnacentral:rRNA from 1 species
CAGGCGACGAUCCGUAGCUGUUUGAGAAGGACGACCAGCACACUGGACUGAGACACGCCCAGACUCUACGGAAGCAGGCAGUGGGAAUUUGACAUGGGGAAACCUGAUCAGCCAUCCGCCGUGUGCGAUGAAGGCCUUCGGGUUGUAAAGCACUUUGGCAGGAAAGAAACGUCGCGGGUUAAUACCUCGCGAAACUGACGGUACCUGCAGAAUAAGCACCGGCUAACUACGUGCCAGCAGCCGCGGUAAUACGUAGGGUGCAAGCGUUAAUCGGAAUUACUGGGCGUAAAGCGUGCGCAGGCGGUUCGGAAAGAAAGAUGUGAAAUCCCAGAGCUUAACUUUGGAACUGCAUUUUUAACUACCGGGCUAGAGUGUGUCAGAGGGAGGUGGAAUUCCGCGUGUAGCAGUGAAAUGCGUAGAUAUGCGGAGGAACACCGAUGGCGAAGGCAGCCUCCUGGGAUAACACUGACGCUCAUGCACGAAAGCGUGGGGAGCAAACAGGAUUAGAUACCCUGGUAGUCCACGCCCUAAACGAUGUCAACUAGCUGUUGGGGCCUUCGGGCCUUGGUAGCGCAGCUAACGCGUGAAGUUGACCGCCUGGGGAGUACGGUCGCAAGAUUAAAACUCAAAGGAAUUGACGGGGACCCGCACAAGCGGUGGAUGAUGUGGAUUAAUUCGAUGCAACGCGAAAAACCUUACCUACCCUUGACAUGUCUGGAAUGCCGAAGAGAUUUGGCAGUGCUCGCAAGAGAACCGGAACACAGGUGCUGCAUGGCUGUCGUCAGCUCGUGUCGUGAGAUGUUGGGUUAAGUCCCGCAACGAGCGCAACCCUUGUCAUUAGUUGCUACGAAAGGGCACUCUAAUGAGACUGCCGGUGACAAACCGGAGGAAGGUGGGGAUGACGUCAAGUCCUCAUGGCCCUUAUGGGUAGGGCUUCACACGUCAUACAAUGGUCGGGACAGAGGGUCGCCAACCCGCGAGGGGGAGCCAAUCCCAGAAACCCGAUCGUAGUCCGGAUCGCAGUCUGCAACUCGACUGCGUGAAGUCGGAAUCGCUAGUAAUCGCGGAUCAGCAUGUCGCGGUGAAUACGUUCCCGGGUCUUGUACACACCGCCCGUCACACCAUGGGAGUGGGUUUUACCAGAAGUAGUUAGCCUAACCGCAAGGGGGGCGAUACCCACGCCG